UGGGGAAUAUUGGACAAUGGGCGAAAGCCUGAUCCAGCCAUGCCGCGUGUGUGAAGAAGGCCUUAUGGUUGUAAAGCACUUUAAGCGAGGAGGAGGCUACUUUAGUUAAUACCUAGAGAUAGUGGACGUUACUCGCAGAAUAAGCACCGGCUAACUCUGUGCCAGCAGCCGCGGUAAUACAGAGGGUGCAAGCGUUAAUCGGAAUUACUGGGCGUAAAGCGCGCGUAGGUGGUUCGUUAAGUUGAAUGUGAAAGCCCCGGGCUCAACCUGGGAACUGCAUCCAAAACUGGCGAUCUAGAGUAAGGCAGAGGGUGGUGGAAUUUCCUGUGUAGCGGUGAAAUGCGUAGAUAUAGGAAGGAACACCAGUGGCGAAGGCGACCACCUGGGCUCAUACUGACACUGAGGUGCGAAAGCGUGGGGAGCAAACAGG
rnacentral:rRNA from 1 species